rnacentral:rRNA from 1 species
UAGUUGGUGAGGUAAUGGCUCACCAAGACAAUGACGCCUAACUGGUUUGAGAGGAUGAUCAGUCACACUGGAACUGAGACACGGUCCAGACUCCUACGGGAGGCAGCAGUGGGGAAUAUUGCACAAUGGAGGAAACUCUGAUGCAGCAACGCCGCGUGGAGGAUGACACUUUUCGGAGCGUAAACUCCUUUUAUAUAGGAAGAUAAUGACGGUACUAUAUGAAUAAGCACCGGCUAACUCCGUGCCAGCAGCCGCGGUAAUACGGAGGGUGCAAGCGUUACUCGGAAUCACUGGGCGUAAAGAGCGUGUAGGCGGGUUAAUAAGUCAGAUGUGAAAGCCUAUGGCUCAACCAUAGAACUGCAUUUGAAACUGUUAACCUAGAAUAUGGGAGAGGUAGAUGGAAUUUCUGGUGUAGGGGUAAAAUCCGUAGAGAUCAGAAGGAAUACCGAUUGCGAAGGCGAUCUACUGGAACAUUAUUGACGCUGAGACGCGAAAGCGUGGGGAGCAAACAGGAUUAGAUACCCUGGUAGUCCACGCCCUAAACGAUGUACACUAGUUGUUGCGAUGCUAGACAUUGCAGUAAUGCAGUUAACACAUUAAGUGUACCGCCUGGGGAGUACGGUCGCAAGAUUAAAACUCAAAGGAAUAGACGGGGACCCGCACAAGCGGUGGAGCAUGUGGUUUAAUUCGACGAUACGCGAAGAACCUUACCUGGACUUGACAUUUACAGAAUUUUUCAGAGAUGAGAGAGUGUCUGCUUGCAGAAACUGUAGGACAGGUGCUGCACGGCUGUCGUCAGCUCGUGUCGUGAGAUGUUGGGUUAAGUCCCGCAACGAGCGCAACCCACGUCAUUAGUUGCUAACACUUCGGGUGAGAACUCUAAUGAGACUGCCUGGGCAACCAGGAGGAAGGUGUGGACGACGUCAAGUCAUCAUGGCCCUUACGUCCAGGGCUACACACGUGCUACAAUGGGGCAUACAAAGAGCAGCAAUACCGCGAGGUGGAGCAAAUCUCAAAAAUGCCUCCCAGUUCGGAUAGUAGUCUGCAACUCGACUACUUGAAGUUGGAAUCGCUAGUAAUCGUAGAUCAGCAAUGCUACGGUGAAUACGUUCCCGGGUCUUGUACUCACCGCCCGUCACACCAUGGGAGUUGAACUCAUUCGAAGCGGGGAUGCUAAGAUAGCUACCCUCCACAGUGGAUUCAGCGACUGGGGUG